rnacentral:rRNA from 1 species
AUUGAACGCUGGCGGCAUGCUUUACACAUGCAAGUCGAGCGGUAACAGGCCGCAAGGUGCUGACGAGUGGCGAACGGGUGCGUAAUGCAUCGGAACGUGCCCAGCCGUGGGGGAUAACUACUCGAAAGAGUAGCUAAUACCGCAUACGAUCUAUGGAUGAAAGCGGGGGACCGUAAGGCCUCGCGCGAUUGGAGCGGCCGAUGUCAGAUUAGGUAGUUGGUGGGGUAAAGGCUCACCAAGCCAACGAUCUGUAGCUGGUCUGAGAGGACGACCAGCCACACUGGGACUGAGACACGGCCCAGACUCCUACGGGAGGCAGCAGUGGGGAAUUUUGGACAAUGGGCGCAAGCCUGAUCCAGCAAUGCCGCGUGCAGGAAGAAGGCCUUCGGGUUGUAAACUGCUUUUGUACGGAACGAAACGGCUCUGGUUAAUACCCGGGGCUAAUGACGGUACCGUAAGAAUAAGCACCGGCUAACUACGUG